ensembl:lncRNA
AUCUAAUUCAAAAUGGUACCUAACAACCAUGAAAACAGAAAAAUAAGAAAAAUUUGCAAAACCAAGACAAAUUAUUGAAUGCCAGAAUCUGAAAGGAAUUACAGACUGGACUGAGGACAAUCUUUGGGCUUCUUUUUUUACCACCCCCCUAUUCCAAUCUACCGUAAUCUGUUAUUCGGAAUUUUGCAAUAGCUUCCUAAGAGGGCUCCGUGAGUCUGCUUUUGGCUUUCUUCAGUCUGUUCUUAACACUGAAGCCAGAGUGAUUUUGUUAAGAUAGAUCAGAUCACAUCACUGGCUACUCAAAAUCCCCCACUGGUUUCCCAUCUUUCUCCAUAAAAACCAAAGUCACUACAGUGGCCUAUGAGGCCCUACAGGCCACAUGUUCUCUCUCAGACCACAUGUCCUCCCAUACCGGCACUUUGUUCACCCUGCUCCACCCACACUGGCUUCUCUGUCAUUUUCCAGGCACACCAGGCAUGUACCACUUCAGGAGCCUUGUGCUUGUCAAUUCUUUCUGCCUGGAAUGUGGUCCCUCCCUCAGAUUUCCAAUGUGGCUCACUUUGUUACCUCCUUCAGGUCAUCGCUCAAAUGCUACCUUCCCACAAGGGCUUCCUUGCUUUAUUUUUCUCCAUAGAAAUCAUUACCAUCCAAUUUAGUGUAUGUUUCACAGAUUUAAUUUGCUUAUACUGUCUCCACCCCUCCGACCCCACUAGGAUGAAAGCUCCAUACAGGCGUGGCCUUUUGUCCUUUUUGUUUCCUAGAGUAUCUCAAGUGUCUGACAUAUAGUAAAAGCUUAGUAAAUACUGGUUGAAUUAAUUUGCUGGGAAUUUGAGGUUUUCAGAUAUCACAUUGGAUUAGAAAACCAACACAUUAGGCCAUGGCAGGGCAGGGGGUGAAAGGGAGUAGCGUUCUCAAUAAAGCAGAACCUUCUAGAAACAGUGAGUUCUAGCAAAAUCCUGCAUGGAAGAGUUGGCAGAGGAACUCUAUCCCUCUUUGUUUUUUCUUUUUCUAUGAAAAAGGCCAGAUACUAAAUAUUUUAAGCUUUGUGAGCCAUAUGGUCUCUUUCACAACUUCUCAAUUCUGCCUUAGAAGCAUGAAAGCAGCAACAGACAACUCGUAAACAAAUGAGCACGGGUGUGAUCCAGUGAAACUACAAAAACACAGGAUUUGACUUGUGGGCCAUCGUUUGCUAACUGCUAGUCUAGAACAAUGGUUCACAACUUUACUGCAAAUUGGAAUCACCUCAGGAUGUUUAAAAAUAUUAAUGCCUGGCUCCCACCUCCAAGCAUCAAGAAUUUUGUUGUCGUUGUUUUGUUUUGGGGUUUUUUUGAUGUUUUGUUUUGUUUUUUGAGGAAGAUUAGCCCUGAGCUAACAUCUGCUGCCAAUUCUCUUUUUGCUGAGGAAGACUGGCCCUGAGCUAACAUCCGUGCCCAUCUUCCUCUCUUUUAUAUGUGGGACGCCUACCACAGCAUGGCUUGCCAAGUGGUGCCACGUCCGCACCCGGGAUCCGAACCGGCGAACCCCGGGCCGCCAAAGUGGAACGUGCAAACUUAACUGCUGUGCCACCAGCCUGGCCCCCAAGCAUCAAGCGUUUUACAAGUUUCUCAGCUAAUCAGAGAGCUAGGGCUGCAAGGCAACAGGUGAACAGAAUUCACAAGUGUGGCCCCUCUGAGGAGAGGUGAUACACCCAAACUGUGUCAUCUCUGACAGAACAUGGGAGGAAAAACUAGCAACCAAAAGAGUAGGUAAGAAAACAACUGAUAUUUUGACAAUUUCUUAAAAGCC